rnacentral:lncRNA from 1 species
GAUUUUUUUAAGGUUAAUAUUAUUGCCACGGGUAAAAUUAUUUCCUAGAUCCGCCACUGGUUAUAGGUCUUAUGAGAAGUGAGGUUUCAUGAAGAUUUGAGGGGUUUAUUCCGUGAGCCCGUCUGCGAGAUGUUUUUUGAUCCAUUUCAGGUUAAAAUAAAGGAUGAUACACAUUUAAAUGGAUAGAAAAGCAAAGAAGGUUCAGAACCAGUUGAAA